CUACGUGCCAGCAGCCGCGGUAAUACGUAGGGUGCGAGCGUUAAUCGGAAUUACUGGGCGUAAAGCGAGCGCAGACGGUUACUUAAGCAGGAUGUGAAAUCCCCGGGCUCAACCUGGGAACUGCGUUCUGAACUGGGUGACUAGAGUGUGUCAGAGGGAGGUAGAAUUCCACGUGUAGCAGUGAAAUGCGUAGAGAUGUGGAGGAAUACCGAUGGCGAAGGCAGCCUCCUGGGAUAACACUGACGUUCAUGCUCGAAAGCGUGGGUAGCAAACAGGAUUAGAUACCCUGGUAGUCCACGCCCUAAACGAUGUCAAUUGGCUGUUGGGCAACUUGAUUGCUUAGUAGCGUAGCUAACGCGUGAAAUUGACCGCCUGGGGAGUACGGUCGCAAGAUUAAAACACAAAGGAAUUGACGGGGACCCGCACAAGCGGUGGAUGAUGUGGAUUAAUUCGAUGCAACGCGAAGAACCUUACCUGGUCUUGACAU
rnacentral:rRNA from 1 species